rnacentral:hammerhead_ribozyme from 1 species
GCACAGCUGAGGAGUCCCGUAAUAAGACGAAACGGCCGUCCAGUGC